rnacentral:misc_RNA from 1 species
UUUCAGUUUGCUGGCAAUUCUCAAUAUUUAUAUGCAACUAUUCUCUGCCUCAGGCCUCUGCAUUCGCGUGUUGGCUUAUGUAGUGCUACCCAUUAGCUCACCUAGAUCGCCUAGUUUCCUCACUUCUACAUCAUAUGGAACUCAAAAUCUAUUCUUCUUUCUACUUGUUAAUUGGUAUUCAAGAAACAAGAAAAUUGGAGAAAUCCCACUUGACUUACAAUUGCUAAUCAUGCAAGAAUUCCGUUAUUCUCUGUAACUCUCUCUGUUACAGCUUUUCAACUUCUACAAUGUGAAUUAGGUUGUCAGCUGCAACGUUAAAAUCUGGUUCUUUAAUAUAUUGGGUGUAGAAAUUUACUUGAAAGGCCAAGAUUCUAGCAGACAACUCUCUGCUCUCUGAGAAGCAAAUUAGUUCCAGUUGGUGAGGUUUAUGUGUUUGAGCAGUGAGCAGUUUGGAAAAACAGCUUUCAAUUGCAUAGAAUGGCUGGAGGUAGAAGAAAGAAGCAGCAUUUUAGCAGAAUCCAUGCCUUCCCAUGUGGAAAGGCAUCUUUCGAAAGCGACCUUUCACUGAUUGGAGGACCUGGCUUCUCAAGGGUAAUCUAUUGCAAUGACCCUGAAUGCUUUGAGGCUGGAGUGCUCAAUUAUGGCAGAAACUAUGUUAGAACUACCAAGUAUACGCUUGCAACAUUUUUCCCCAAGUCAUUAUUUGAGCAAUUCAGGCGGGUCGCCAAUUUUUAUUUCCUUAUCUGUGCAAUAUUGUCUUUCACUCCACUGUCUCCCUACACAGCUGUUAGUAAUGUUGUUCCUCUUGUUGUUGUUAUUGGAGCUACAAUGGGGAAAGAGUUGAUUGAAGAUUGGAGGAGGAAAAGGCAGGAUAUUGAAGUGAACAACCGUAAGGUAAAAGUAUGUAUUGGUGAUGGUGUUUUUCAUCAUACUAAAUGGAUGAAUUUGAAAGUUGGAGACAUAGUAAAGGUGGAAAAGGAUGAGUUUUUUCCUGCUGAUAUUAUCUUACUUUCCUCAAGUUAUGAUGAAGCAAUUUGCUAUGUUGAGACCAUGAACCUUGAUGGAGAAACCAAUUUGAAACUGAAACAAGCACUGCAUGAAACUUCAAAUCUUCAUGAUGACUCUAGCUUUCAAGAUUUCAAGGCUUUAAUAAGAUGUGAAGAUCCAAAUGCAAACUUGUACUCUUUCAUAGGCAAUUUGGAGCUUAGAGAGCAACAGCACCCUCUUUCACCUCUGCAACUUCUGCUUAGGGACUCAAAGUUACGAAACACAGAUUAUAUUUAUGGGGUGGUUAUUUUCACAGGUCAUGACACUAAGGUUAUGCAGAAUUCAACCGCACCCCCUUCAAAAAGAAGCAAAAUUGAGAGAAGAAUGGACAAGAUUAUCUAUUUCUUGUUCUUUAUCUUGGUUUUAAUGUCUUUUAUCGGGUCAAUUUUCUUUGGAAUUGCAACAAGGGAAGAUCUUGAUAAUGGGAGGAUGAAAAGAUGGUAUCUCAGGCCAGAUGACACUACAGUAUAUUAUGACCCAAAGAGAGCACCAGCUGCAGCGGUUUUACAUUUUUUGACUGCCCUUAUGUUGUAUAGCUAUUUGAUUCCAAUUUCCUUGUAUGUAUCAAUUGAAAUUGUCAAAGUUCUUCAGAGCAUUUUCAUCAACCAAGAUCUGCAUAUGUACUAUGAGGAAGCUGAUAAGCCAGCACAAGCAAGGACGUCAAAUUUGAAUGAAGAACUUGGCCAAGUUGAUACUAUACUUUCUGAUAAAACAGGAACAUUGACUUGCAACUCAAUGGAAUUUAUCAAGUUUUCUGUGGCUGGGACCUCCUAUGGUCGUGGAGUAACUGAAGUUGGGAGAGCUAUGGCUAAGAGGAAAGGGUCACCUUUACCUCAAGAAGUAAUACAAGAAGAGGCCCAUGUUGAGGAACAAACUGAACAAAAACCAUCCAUAAAAGGGUUCAAUUUUGUGGAUGGAAGGAUUACUGAUGGUCAUUGGGUAAACGAACCUCGUGCGGAUGUAAUCCAAAAGUUUGUAAGAUUGCUGGCUAUCUGCCACACUGCAAUACCUGAAAUUGAUGAAGAAACUGGAAAAGUAACUUAUGAAGCUGAAUCACCAGAUGAGGCAGCAUUUUUAAUUGCAGCAAGAGAGCUUGGAUUUGAAUUUUAUGGAAGGACACAAACUAGCAUCUCACUCCAUGAGUUAGAUCCAGUAGCUGGCAGGACAGUUGAAAGGAAUUAUCAACUUUUGCAUAUUAUUGAGUUUAGUAGCUCUAGAAAGCGGAUGUCAGUAAUUGUAAGGAAUGAGGAGGGAAAGCUUCUACUACUUAGUAAAGGCGCUGACAGUGUCAUGUUUGAAAGACUUGCAAAGAAUGGAAGAGAAUUUCAAGAGCAAACCAAAGAGCACAUUAAUGAGUAUGCUGAUGCUGGUUUGAGGACUUUGGUACUUGCAUAUCGUGAACUUGAUGAGGAAGAAUACAGUGAAUUCAAUCAGGAGUUUACUGAUGCCAAGAACUCAGUAAGUUCAGAGCGUGAGGAAAUGAUUGAGGAAGUGGCGGCAAAGAUUGAGAGGGAUUUGAUUCUUCUUGGCACUACAGCAGUUGAAGACAAACUUCAAAAUGGGGUUCCUGAAUGUAUUGACAAGCUUGCUCAAGCUGGAAUUAAAAUAUGGGUUUUGACUGGAGAUAAGAUGGAGACAGCUAUUAACAUUGGCUUUGCCUGUAGUUUACUUAGACAAGGAAUGAAACAAGUAAUAAUCAGCUCAGAGGCUCCAGAAAACAAAGGCCUACAGAAAAUGGAGGACAAGGCUGCUGCUGCUGCGGCUUCCAAGGCAAGCAUCCUCCGUCAGAUAAGCGAGGGGAAGGCAUUGCUUACUGCAUCAGGUGAAAGUCCUGAGGCAUUAGCGUUGAUCAUUGAUGGGUAUUCACUCGCUUAUGCUCUUCAGGAUGAUGUCAAGGACAAGUUUCUAGAGCUUGCCAUUGGAUGUGCAUCUGUCAUUUGCUGCCGCUCAUCUCCUAAACAGAAAGCUCUUGUUACACGAUUAGUUAAAACAAAAACAGGUAAUACAACAUUAGCAAUUGGCGAUGGAGCAAAUGAUGUUGGAAUGCUUCAGGAAGCAGAUAUUGGAGUUGGUAUUAGUGGGGUUGAAGGAAUGCAGGCAGUCAUGUCAAGUGAUUUUGCAAUUGCACAAUUCCAAUAUUUGGAGCGCUUGCUACUCGUUCAUGGACAUUGGUGUUACAGAAGAAUCUCAUCAAUGGUACUAUUUUAUCUUGAACAUGUGAAACAAUCAGUUUUAUAAUCCCAGAUCCCUUUCAUUUUCGUUUAAACCAAAAUUAUAUGCUUCUGUUUUCUGUUUUAUUGAGGUUGAUCAGAAAGUAUAUAAUUAAAAGCCUGAAAAACACUGCUUUAAAUUAAACCAGCCUAACAAAGGAAUUUGAUUGUGUGACACAUUCAUUUUGCUGUUUGGCAGAUAUGCUAUUUCUUUUACAAGAAUAUUGCAUUUGGCUUCACUCUCUUCUUCUAUGAGGCAUAUGCAUCAUUCUCAGGCCAACCUGCAUAUAACGAUUGGUUUUUGUCUCUUUAUAACGUCUUCUUCACAUCACUUCCUGUGAUUGCCUUAGGAGUAUUUGACCAGGAUGUAUCUGCACGCUUUUGCCUGAAGUUCCCACUAUUAUACCAAGAAGGUGUCCAAAAUGUCCUAUUUAGCUGGCGUAGAAUCUUUGGCUGGGCGUUUAAUGGGGUGUUGAGUGCAAUCUUAAUCUUCUUCUUCUCCAUCUCUGCAAUGGAACAUCAAGCUUUUAACAAAGGUGGGAAAGUUGCCGGCCUAGAGAUCCUCGGAGCCACCAUGUACACAUGCGUCGUGUGGGUGGUUAACUGCCAGAUGGCACUAUCCAUCAGCUAUUUCACUUACAUACAGCAUCUCUUCAUCUGGGGAGGCAUUAUAUUCUGGUAUAUAUUCCUCUUGGCAUAUGGAGCAAUGGACCCUAACAUAUCAACUACUGCCUAUAAGGUUUUCAUUGAAGCUUGUGCACCAGCUCCAUCUUAUUGGCUCAUCACAGUCUUUGUAUUGAUCUCUUCGCUUCUCCCGUAUUUCACAUACUCAGCCAUCCAGAUGAGGUUUUUCCCCUUGUAUCAUCAGAUGAUACAGUGGAUGAGAAGCGAUGGACAAACAGAAGACCCCGAAUACUGUCAUAUGGUACGACAGAGAUCAUUACGGCCAACAACCGUAGGUUUUACAGCCCGUUUUUCAGAACACGAGAGAUGAUAGGGACAUUGAUGAAACAUUUUGUGUAGAUUCCAUUCACAUUAUGCUUGUAGAUUUUGUUUGCUAAGGAAGGCUUCUUCUGACUGUACAUAUGAGAUUUUUUUUCUCAUUCGUUUGAAGAAGCUCCAAAACUGUAAUUCAAUGUUUCGGUAGUUUUAAGUUCAAGAAAUGUACAAUAGUACAUCUUUCUAGUUUAGAAAUUCUUGUUUACAGGAAUAUCAGUGGCAUUGCCUCUGUCUCCUCUGUAACUCAUCAAUAAUAGUUCAAUAAUCAGAUCUCUAUGAGCUUUUAAGCAGAUUAAUUUAUGUAUUCAUCAUUUUCAAAAACUGAAGUAGAAAAAG